UAUAAGCAAGAUAACUUUAAUUUAAGCAAGAUGACUACAAGAUACUGAAUUUAGACAUGUGCAAUUGCUUUGCUAGCUCAUACAGCACAUAAUCUAUAGCUUGCUUAGGCUCGCCUCUUUAAUGUUUUACAUUUGUCUAGUAAGUUUUAUUUUUUUGUACGUGUAGAAGCAUACGAAAACAAAAGUUUGACCAACGAAUUGGAACGUCUAAAACGAGAGAAAAAGCAGAACGAAGAUAAAUUGGAGGAUGGUAAGAAAGAGAUAUCGGUAUUGAAAGAGAAGCUGAAAGAACUCGAGAAAGAGCUAGCAGAGAAAGAGGAGGAGAACAAGAGCUUGACUGAAAACUUGAAAGAAGCAUACGAAAACAAAAG